CACACGUUUUCCGGCAGCUCUGUCAUUUAUUCUAAAAAGCUAGAUACACCCAUUUUAAAUUACCAGAAGGAAAAUGUUUCAAAUUACAUUAAACUAGCAGCUGAAUCCCAUUACCGCACAGCAAAAAACAUUGGGCUAUUUUCACAACCCAAUAGAUUUACAGCUCUAGAGUCAUUUUGUUGGAUUAUUUUCCAAAUGCUGGGUUGUUUUCGUAGUGACAACGGGUUGGGUACAAGGUACAUUUGUAAUAAAAACCCAACAAACGGAUGCUGGUUGACAUCAAAUAUGUGCAAAACCCAUUGGCACUUGUUGUGCCACUAAACAGCAAAAACAGCUCUUCAGGUAGCCAAGGAGGGAAGGAGUGCUUGAGAUUUCCUCCUCCUCCUAUAACUCAUCCCAUUCCGCAACAACUUCAUCACCAGACUGCUGUACUGACUGCUGACAUUGCUGACAGGGAUGACCUGUGACUGAGUGAUGGGAGUGUCAUCGGGCAUGAGUCCUUGUCUUCCAUAGGGGUGUCACGCCCUGACCUUAGAUAUCCUUUUUAUGCUCUAUGUUUGGUUAGGUCAGGGUGGGAAAGUCUAUCUUUUUCUAUUUCUUUGUUUUUGGCCGUGUGUGGUUCCCAACCAGAGGCAGCUGUCGAUCGUUGUCUCUGAUUGGGGAUCUUUUGUUUUGUGGGAUCUUGUUUUCUUUUCUUUUUUGUGUCUGUACCUGACAGAACUGUGCGCGUUUAUUUUCACACUGGUUAUUUUGUUUGAGUGUUUUUGAAAAUAAAAUCAUGAACACUUUUCACGCUGCACUUUGGUCCACUCCUUUGGACGAGCGCGGUAACAGAAGAUCCCACCACCAACGGACCAAGCAGCGUGCCCCGGAGUGGAGGACAUCAUGGCCAUGGGAGGAGGUAAUGGCAGGGCAUGAGAGCCUGUCGUGGAUGCAGCGAGGGAGGAACAGCGACGAGACCAGGAGUCACGGCAACGACGGAAGCCCGAGAGGCAGCUCCUAAAACAAUUUUGGGGCCAACUCCCCGUGCUUACCGUGGGGAGCAUGUGACCGGUCAAGCACCGUGUUAUGCGAGGAUGCACACUGUGUCUCCAGUGCGCAUUCACAGCCCGGUGCGCUCUGUUUCAGCUCCCCGCAGUUGCGGUGCUGAUCUCCGGUGCGUCUCUUCGGCCCAGGAUAUCCUGCGCCAGCUCUACGCACUGUAUCUCCAGUUCGCCAGCACAACCCAGUGCGGCCUGUUCCAGCUCCCUGCACUUGUCGUGCUACAGGGGAUAUUCAGCAAGGACUAGGAAGUGCCAGCAAGUGCCAGCUCUACUGUACCCGGGAGAACUGUGCGCUUUCGUUUUCACUUUGGUUAUUUUGUUUGAGUGUUUUGAAAAUAAAAAUCAUGAGCACUUUU